rnacentral:rRNA from 1 species
UCUGGCAGCAAUAGCGCGGUGGUCCCACCUGACCCCAUGCCGAACUCAGUAGUGAAACGCCGUAGCGCCGAUGGUAGUGUGGGGUCUCCCCAUGUGAGAGUAGGGAACUGCCAGAC